rnacentral:lncRNA from 1 species
AAUGAUUUGAUACAUAUACUAAAUUUGAUCCACAAACACCAUCAAGAUGAACACAUAUUGGACGACAACGAUGAUAGGUUCGCAAACAUACAUAAAUAUAUAUUCACACAGGUUCACAAGCAUAGUUUGACCAUCCAGAACACACAAGUCACAUAAAAAGGGCCACUAAUUGAUAGUCUCAACUAAUUCAAACAAUGGUCCAAAACACACAAAUCACAUACAUGAGCACAAAGUUUCUACUCCAAAACACUUGAAGCACCAAAUGGUCUAGAACACACAUAAGAUUCAAGAAAUGAUUGAAGUUGGUUGGUCCAAAAUACUGCUAACAGCCAUGUAUGUUCCAUGACACUCAAAAUCCUCCUCACAUCCAAUGCUAGGUGGCUAAGUAUCUGAAAAUAUUCCAUAUGAAUUUGUCACGAAAGUGCAAUCAAUCCAAAAGUUGUUCAAAGCUCAUACGAAGAUUGUUAGGCUAGAGCAGCACAUGCUAGCUUAUACUUGAUUGUUCAUGCAAGAGUAACAUUGUUAUUUGGCCAUGAAUACACACAAAUAUAUUUUUUCCUAUGCGGUGAAGUGUAGUGUUGCGGGCUUCCUUCUCAACAGGAAUCAAUCACCACAGGAAACAAUGUUCUGCUAUUUUUGUCAACAUCAUUUGAUCAACACACUUGAGUUCAUUUUGAUUUCAUGUCCCAGAAUUAUUAGCAAGAGCAUUCCCAGAAAAUCUACUUGUGCAUAUAUGCUACAGAAAUGCUUAUGACGAGUGGUACACAUUCUCAAAAAUAAGCUAGGUAUGACAACAAACAAACAGAACUACUACAAGGUGAAAGGAUGCAGAAUUAGGAUGUGGCUAUUUUCUAGUUUAUAACAUAUUUGACCAAGAUCAGGAUGUGGAUUAUCAAUAUGUUUCCGCAGAAUCGUUUCUUAAUUGAGCCGCAUGACACCAACAGAAUUACAAUAUUCUAUUCUGCAGCUCAAAAGUUCAGACUGGUGGCAAGUUAAUAAGCUAACAUGGCAGCUCUGUGAGUCUGCAAAAGGUUAUAAAGGAUAAGAUGAUGCAUACAAACUUGGCAAUAAAUACUAUAAGAUAGGAUUCCUGAUCAGCAGUGUUAUAUAUUAACAACUCAUAGUAGUAGCUGUAGCUUGUCAAAUUUAAAAACAGGCAGUAGUAGUUUAUAAAGAAACGGGCUUGUCAUGUAUUAAGAGUUGUAGGUUGUAAUAAUAUUUAAGAACUGGCAAUAGUAGAUUCUACUGAACUAUUAGAUGCUAUGAGGAAACAUGGCUGGGCCUUAUGUAGUUAUGUUGCACAUCUUUUGUGUAUUGUCCUGACACAUUCAGUUUACUUGUAAUGUAUAAAUUAGAUGAAGAGAUACUACAAUAUCAUGAGCCAUUGAGGAUGAAGCCGAGGUUACCAUCUAUUUAAAGAGGAAACAAAAGUCUAAAGCUUCAAUAAGUAGAGGCAACUGCUGUUAGUACCUGCACCUCCUGGCACAUUAGUUGUCUUCUUGGCAUCUUUGAUCUGCAACAAGCCAAUAACAAUCAUUACUCCUUAGUCUAAUUCCCAAAACAACUGAAAAAUAGGCAUUCAAAAAUAGGCCUACAUGUAAUUAUUACUAGUAAGAAUGCCCGUGCAUUGCACCGGGCGAUAAAAGGGGCACAACCUACUUCAUGUGUCAUUGUGCACCAUUUUCAUAUCCAAUUUUAAUAAACAUCGAUAAUAAGGUUAAACAUGGAAAUAUCCUUAUUUUUAAUAGAAGUUAAUGUUUUCAUGCCGCUUCAGCUCAUCAACCGUGCUACACUCUUCAACUUCAGUAUCAAGUAUGUUGUCGUCGGAGACGCACGAGUAGUUUCGCUGCACUGAGAGCGCUCUGCUGAUGUUGCACAGCAAGGCCUGCUCGUGCUGCUCUUGUAUGCUCGGUCUGUCGAGUGUCCGGAAAGAAGAAAAAGUGUAGAGCUGCAACAACAGCAGCUUCAGGUGUUGAUGUGCUCUCAAGGAAUCCCUCCAUGUCGGAGAAUUCGGUCUCCGGUUUCUUAUAACAUAGAUAAGAUAAAUAGCAAUUUCUUAGUCUGUGUUGCUACUCAUGAAUUUUUUUGAGACCACCGAUGUGGUUAAUAAAAAGAUCAAAAAGUUCAGCAUAACUCAGACCUGAGGUGUCAACUUUGUUGGUUUAAUUCCUCUAGUGCAUGUCAGCCAAACUGAAAUUGUAAGUUGGAUUUUUUUAUGGACGAUUGAUAAUUAACAAUCAUGUUAGAUUAUGUAAAGACCCGGUGGACAGGUAAGUUGAUUUAGCCAAGCGCAGUGCAGAUUCCGUGUAGAUUUCUAAGCUAAAUUUUCCUUGCAUUACAUAGAGUGCCCAUUUUGCGGACUAUGAAUUAAGUGCUUUGGCUGGAUCUGCGCAAAUGGAAUAUGCAUACAGCUCCCAAUCUAGGAUUGGUUUCGAUUCAGAGUCGUCCAGGCAAACCUUGCAGCCAAGUGUGCGGCUCUCGGUGUCUAUGGAUCUUGAUCAUGGAGCAGAUAAUGAGGAGCUUAGGGUGCUGCAGCCUUUAUGCGAUGGGACAUUUGAGAAGCAGGUCACUGUUAUUCAAGACCAAGAAGAGAGUGAGGCUGCUGUUUCGGUUCAGAACAGGCAAGACAGAUCCCCGAGCUCCAUAAUCUGAUACCUCCCUGGCAAUAAGAAAAAUAAUUAGUUGUAGGCAAGUAACUAGAGUGUUUGGUGCAAUCUGUCUAUGGGGAAUCAUAUAUAAUUGUUUGGUUUCAGUGAUGUGACUAUAGCCUCGGAAUGAAACAUCAUGUUGUCCGAAUAUUUGUCUGUGCAUUGCAUAAUUCCAUGGAUAGUUCACGCGGGUUAAUUUGUUGUUUCAUAUGCACAUAUUGAUUAAAUAAACUCUUCCAAUAUAGUUAAUUGUACUGCUGGAUUUUGGUGGUCAUUCUAAAUGUACAAAUUUGUUGUGCGGAUCUCUGAACUAAUAUGGAUCUGUAUACGAACUAUAACUCAACACUAUAUCUAGUUCUUGCUAUCAGCUUGAUUUUGGUGGUCCAAGUGGAUAUAUACACUAGUCAUGCAGCCACACUCUGCACUAUUUGGUUAAUGAGAACGGGAGGAGCACAACACUGACCCCAUCUCUUAUCUCAGCCAGCUUCAGGUCCACCAUGGCCACCUACACCGAGCACCAUAUCACGCCCCGAGCUUCGUUGUCGACUCAUCUACACCAACCCAAUCACCACAAACAGGGAUAUCAGAACAGUUCAUGACAUAAUUAUACCACUUAUUAGUUGGGGAAAAAGGAAACUUUGAUGUACCUAGGCUUAGACAACCACGUUUUGUCCAUGAUGCACCCUUAAUAUCAAAUGUGUCAAGUAUCUGAAUUUGGAUAGUGCGGCAGUGUUAGUUUUGCAUCGGUGAAGCGAGAAUCAUUAUUCAUUAUUCAGGCAAUAGCAGUACAAAACAAUCAAGCAACAAAAGCACAUUCUUGUACUAUUGUCUACUUUCACAAGCAACGACAUAUGAAUUAAGUGCAGCAGUACAGCGAAGGAAAACUUAGGAGGAGUUGACGCUAACCUCAAGGCACGGGGACGGCUGGCUUCGGGAGGGGCGCAACUCGAAGGAGAUGGAGCCUCGGCAGCAGGUCCGGCAGCAGUGUAAUGAGCCUGGAGAUGGAUCCCUGGUAUCAGCAUGUCCGGCAGCAGCGGGAGGCCGGCAAUGGAGCCCCGAUAGCAGCAGAUCUGAAAGCAGCGGGAGCACGACGAUGGAGCCCCGGCAGUAGCAGGGACGGAGAUUUGCGAGGACGAGGCUGGAUGUCAGGGGGACACAAGGACGGUCGUUGGAUUGUGGAGUGCGAGGACGGCGGCUCGAUCUCGGGAGGGAGCUCAGGGAGAGGGGGCGGAGUGCGAGGAUGGGUGGAUGUCGGGGUGGAGCUUGGGGGAGGGGGGUCCGACCUCCGGGGCGACGGCUUGACGAUGGGGUCGAGCGCGAGGCCAGCGGCCAUGGCGGCCAGACUGUGGAUCGAGCGCGAGGCCGGCGGAGAUGGCGGCUGGACUGUGGAUUGAGCGCAAGGUGGGCGGCGACAGGCACGGGUUAGGGUUGUGGAGUUGUUUGAUUUGGG